AAUAGAUACCCUGGUAGUCCACGCCGUAAACGAUGUCGACUUGGAGGUUGUUCCCUUGAGGAGUGGCUUCCGGAGCUAACGCGUUAAGUCGACCGCCUGGGGAGUACGGCCGCAAGGUUAAAACUCAAAUGAAUUGACGGGGGGCCCGCACAAGCGGUGGAGCAUGUGGUUUAAUUCGAUGCAACGCGAAGAACCUUACCUACUCUUGACAUCCAGAGAACUUAGCAGAGAUGCUUUGGUGCCUUCGGGAACUCUGAGACAGGUGCUGCAUGGCUGUCGUCAGCUCGUGUUGUGAAAUGUUGGGUUAAGUCCCGCAACGAACGCAACCCUUAUCCUUUGUUGCCAGCGGUUAGGCCGGGAACUCAAAGGAGACUGCCAGUGAUAAACUGGAGGAAGGUGGGGAUGACGUCAAGUCAUCAUGGCCCUUACGAGUAGGGCUACACACGUGCUACAAUGGCGCAUACAAAGAGAAGCGACCUCGCGAGAGCAAGCGGACCUCAUAAAGUGCGUCGUAGUCCGGAUUGGAGUCUGCAACG
rnacentral:rRNA from 1 species